AGCUACCAUGGCCUUAUGACUCUCAAGUGGUGCAGCGGUCAAAGGCACAGCACAUCAGUACUAGAGGUGUCACUACAGACUCCCUGGUUCAAAUCCAGGCUGCGUUUCCAUCAAAAAACAUUAUUUGCCAAUAUCAUAACUGAAGCUGGACAUCUUUGGAGCAUAAGAAUGAGGACAGCUUUUGUAUGCUAACGUACACUCCUUAACAGUUGUACUGGAUGAAAACACAGCAAGAAAACGCAUGCCAAUAUGUAAUAUUCAUCUAUUUUAUUGCAGUACUGGUAGUUAUUUCAACAACUUGUUUUACUAGAGGACAAAAAACUGAAUAUGCGUAACCCAUAUUUAAUAUCCAUGCAGUGACUGAACAACAACUGCAUUUCCACCCCCAUCUCUAAGGCAUAGUAUCAUGGCUGGUCACCUGUCAAGUCACAUGUCAGGCAGACUUUGCAAUGCCUCCGUGUGCGACUACCUUGAGAAGCAGUUUGAGGGACUUUGCAGGGAAAAUGUCGUGCAGUGAG